rnacentral:misc_RNA from 1 species
AACGCAACUUGCGCCACCUGUGGCAUGUCUGUUUGAGUACCAAUUCUCUAUGCAAUAUGCGAGUUGGCUCGGUUCGCCGGGCUCAAAUACGGUCUAUGUACAAGUGGAUAGUGUGAAGCUAGAGACGCACAGGCCUGGCCUACUGCUUCUUGUUCACACGUCCGCCUUUCCACCGGUCUCAAAUCAGGCAAGAUUACCCGCUGAACUUAA